UGUUUGCGCAAUGCGACUCGUAUAAAACUUUAAGCCUUUUUGUGUACGUGUCUAUAUAUAUAUAUAGAGCUAGGCUGGUAUACUAUCGGUGGCACGGAGGCCUCCGUGCUACCAAGUUGUUUUCAAUGAUGCGGCUUCCAAAUCGACGAUCGGCUCCGUUAGACUUGAUCUACACUAUUAAAAGUAUUUGGAAAUUAAAUUUCAUAAUUUUUUGACAUCAUUUGGCUAGUGAUCAAAAUGUCUCAAAAUUGACAAUUUUAAUGGUAGAUUUGAUGUGUUUGUGAAUUUAACGGUGUAAAACAAUCCAAAUGGGAUGAAAUUUUAAUAGAAAAUUCUUUUCACUAUUUAGAGUAAGAUCAGUACCUCUGAUCUUAAAUUCAAGUCUUUUAUCAUCAUUUUUUAUGAAAUUUUUAUUUUCAGCCGUUCAUUUUUAGACUACUUGUUAAUAGGUAAAUGAUGCCGAAAAAUUUGAAAUUAAUUUUCAAUCUUUCAAUCAAAUAGUAUCAAAGUUAACGGAGCCGCGCGGUCGAUCGUCGAUUGGAUAGCCGGAUCAUUAAAAACAACUUAGUAGCACGAGCCUCGUGCUAUAUAUAAUAUAUUUAUAUAUAUAGAGAGAGAGAGAGAGAGAGAGAGAGAGAGAGAGAGAGAGAGGGGCUGGAAUACUAUUGAUAGCAAAAAAAAUUUUUUGCUAUUAAGUUUUUAACCCUUAAAUGAAAAAUUAUAAGAUUAGAAUGAUAUUAGUCCUUCAGGGUUGAAUGAUACUCCUAAGAUUGAGUGGUCUCUACUGGGUUAUAAUAUUUAAUCCAAUGGUUAGAAAUUAUGAAAGUAAUUGAUCCAAGGUUAAAAACUUGAUUGCAAAAAAGGUAUUUUGCUAUCAAUAGUAUUCCAGCCUAGCUCUCUCUCUCUCUCUCUCUCUCUCUCUCUCUCUCUCUCUCUCU
rnacentral:lncRNA from 1 species